rnacentral:rRNA from 1 species
UACGUAGGGUGCAAGCGUUAUCCGGAAUUAUUGGGCGUAAAGAGCUCGUAGGCGGUUUGUCGCGUCUGCUGUGAAAACUGGAGGCUCAACCUCCAGCCUGCAGUGGGUACGGGCAAACUAGAGUGCGGUAGGGGAGAUUGGAAUUCCUGGUGUAGCGGUGGAAUGCGCAGAUAUCAGGAGGAACACCGAUGGCGAAGGCAGAUCCCUGGGCCGUAACUGACGCUGAGGAGCGAAAGCAUGGGGAGCGAACAGG